rnacentral:rRNA from 1 species
ACAGAGGGUGCAAGCGUUAAUCGGAUUUACUGGGCGUAAAGCGUGCGUAGGCGGUUCAGUGUGUCGGUUGUGAAAUCCCCGGGCUUAACCUGGGAACUGCAUCCGAAACUGCUGGGCUAGAGUGUGGUAGAGGGCGGUGGAAUUCCAGGUGUAGCGGUGAAAUGCGUAGAUAUCUGGAGGAACACCGGUGGUGAAGGCGGCCUUCUGGACAGUGACUGACGCUGAGACGCGAAAGCGUGGGGAGCAAACAGGA